ACAUGGGCCUCCCCCAUGGGUGCGUGAUGCGGGGACAUGAUGUGCCUCCUAGGCUAAUGUUACAGAUCGAUUUGCAUUUACCUCGUUAGAGUUAGACCUAUCAUCACCUUCUUCCUGGCGCACUGGACAUGGGACGGGGCCCCAUGGAUGGGAUGGAGUUCUUCUUCGAAGAUGACGAUUCGGGGUCGGAUGCAGGGUCUAUCUUACAAGGGGAAGUAGCUGCAGUGGAAUUGGCUGUUGCUUCUAUUCAUGGGGCUCGCACACGCAAUGGAGAUUAGAUUUCUUCCCAUGCAAACAGUGGAGGAAUGGAGUCCGGAGAGAACGGAGGAGGACGGCACCCAGAAGAGACAAUCAUGACAGAGGAGAUUAUCGAUUCAUACAUCUGUGGUAGCGAGGUGGUGGCCGAUUCAAUGUCCCCUGAAAAUAUGAGCGGCCAAAGAAGAUGAGACGCAGAGGGAGUGGUCGUCUCAAAAUCACAGGGCUCCUGCUGGACACGAAAGGAAGUUUACUUGUGAUCUAAUCUAUUAUUUUGUGACUCUGUAUAAUGGUAGCACAUAAUGGAGUAAACGAGUCUUCAUGUGAAAUUGACAAGUGAUUAUGACAUGCAAAGCAUCAGAUAUCUUCAUUUUUCUGGUUCAGGAUCCCAUGUGUGAUUCAACAAUUAAUUGGUGUCCAUGUUAAAAUUUGCAGAAUUAGGAUCAGUUAGGAUGCAGAUGAGAGGGAGAACAAUCCCAGCAGAGUGCCUCCUGCGCUUGAGGCUUCGAUACAUUCUUAUGCUGAUAACAAGGCAGAGCCAGACUCAAUGUCCAUGGGAUAAAGUGCAUGCAUGCGCGGGUAAACCACUGCAGUCCAAUAGCAGAUCAAAACGGUGUGGCUGCACUGCUAUGAUGUGGCUACUGAGAUCGGAUGAUAACGGUUCGUACGGGUGCGAGCAUAGGUCAGAAAUGAUCAUGAACUCUCUGUUAACUGUAUGGAGAAGUUACAUUUUUUUUUGCGUGGAAAUGGAGAAGUUACAUUGAAAGUCGCAUCGACACAUGUACACCGGGGACAUGGUAAAAGAACAAAGAAUGAAAGCACAUGCAAAGUUUACAGCAUCGUGGCCAGUUUUUUUGGUGUCAGUGAAGGAGGAUUGCGUCGCUGUGGGUCAUGAUCUUGAAGAGGGUUGCGGCCACUUCGACCCCUUGUUGGCGUUAAUCCCACCGAGCCAUGCAGCAAGUUAUGAAUCGGAGCACAUGUUCGACGAUAUUUGACGGCGCUGCGGCAAUUGAUGGUGCAUGCUCUGAAGACGAAGAAGUCACGAACAAGCCUGCCAAAAAAGCCAGGAUAGUUUGACCGCCUAGUGUAGAUUUUAGAGCAGGAUUGGUUAGCCCUGUUUCAUAUCUUGUGCACGAUAUACUGGUGUGUGACUUGUCCUAGUAAUUGCCUAUGUAAUUGCGUCUAUCACUCUGCGCUUGGAUUCAUGUGUCUUUAAAACCGUUUGUCGUUUGAUUAUUCACCACUUGAAAGAGUGGUUAAGGUCGAUGCAUGGGGCCUCCGGAUCCCUUGUUCUGCUUUC